GACGAUGAAAGGCUGAUCAGCUGUAACUGAAAGAUUUUUGAACAUUUUGCUGUUUCAGGAACCCAGAUGCUGAAUGCUUUCCAUUAGUAAUGCUUCAAGCUCCAAAACACUGGGAGGAAAGCCGGGGCUUACCUCAACAUUUCUCAAUGAAAAUACCCCGACAGAACUGCCACUCAGUGGUGGGGGUGACAUCAGGAACCACCUGACUCAUCGUUUCUUCUUCUGUAAAAGAUGAUGGAGAGUGAGAACACAAAAACAAGGAAUGUGAACAACGGUGCAUGAUAUACACAUGGCUGAAGUUCUUCAAAAGAACGUUGACCAUCAUUAAUGCCUUGUGUUCUUUGUACUAGCCACUCAAUGGUGGGGCACACCAAGAACCAUGUGACAAAAUAUUGUCUUCGUGAAGACUUCUUCAAUAACAAAUGAUGCAAGAACAAGAAAAAUAUAUAUUAUGAGCUAUUUGAUUCUUAAACAUCACCACAGAGUGCCUUUUCCUUCCUCCGUGAUAUGUAGAAGGAAACUAAAAAAAGGUAUUAGGUGGGUUAAGCCUUUGUUUCGAAUUAAGUGAGACUUGCGAUAAUUACGUGCAUGAACAAUUUUGACAUAUACUGGUACCUUAGAGUUAAAUAA